AAUUUUGUGCAAUUUCCAUAGCUUUCUUUAUAUUACCAAAUCUACUACUUACUAAAGGUAGAGGGUUUGGAGUACUGUUCAUAAGAAUACCCGCAAGAGCGGGUUACGGGUCGGUUCUGGUGCGGUUUUUCCGAGACCUAUGCAGGAGACCCGAAAACGGUAGCUGCAGCCUGCAGGGUGACGGUUCUUGGAAGCCUCGGGCCUGUGCAGGUUCUCAUGAGGCCGGAAUCCACCGUUGGCGAGCUGGUGGCGGCGGUGGCGCGACAGUACGUGAAGGAAGUUCGCUGUUCUAUCCUGCCAACCAACGAUGCCUCUGAUUUCAACCUUCAUUACUCGCAGUUUAGCCUAGAAAGUUUGCAUAGGGAGGAGAAACUGGUAGAACUUGGCUCUAGGAACUUUUUCAUGUGCCCAAGGUUAUUUUCAGCCGUUUUUCUUCAAUGUUAUGUGGCUGAUUCUCUGUCUCUUUCACAGGGAUUAUAUCGUGUUUUCAUUCACCAUUCUUCACUCAAAAUGAGCAGCUCAAGGGAAAACUCGCCAGAUUGGUUAUGUUAUUUUCUGAAACAUAUGGAAACAUAAGGGAUGACUAGAGUGUGCUGGUUUGGAAAGCUUACUGCUUCCUAUCAUGUGCUUCUCUUUGCUGGUGAGUGGUGAUGGUGUCAAAGUAGAUGAGGAGAUGUCAAAGUUGCUUCCUUCUCAGAAAAAGAAGAUGAGACAAAAACAAAGAAAGGCAUAAGCAAGAGCUAAGAAAGGGGCAGAGGAAAAGAAUGAAGAGUUAAGUGUUAGUGAGGUAUUCAAGUCUAGGAAACGACAUGUAAAACCUGUGAAUCCUGAUCCACAUGGGGAGAAGUUAUUGCAGAUUGGCCAAGAGAAAGGGAUGCAGCAUCACAACCACCUUUGUCUGAGUUUUUUCUCCUCUUUCUGAUCUGAACAGAUAAAAAUUGAUUUGGAAAUAUUUCAAGAAUGGUUAUCUUGUGAAAAGCCCAAAUGGUACUAUGUGGAAUGCCCAAGUGUUUAGAUGGGGAGGAAAGAUUUUUUUGGUUGCUCUCUACUGUCACAAAGCUUUUAAAGGAGUUCAUAAAAAGACUGUCGCAUGAGACAAAUGGUCUAUAUUUCAGGUUGAUGGUGAUCGUGAGCUACUUUUUCUCUAUGAACGGAGAAAGAAGAACUCAUGGAAGGAAAUUGGGUUACCAUCGGAGGUCUGACAAAUAUUUAUUUUUUAUUAUUAUCAAAUUACAUGCUUUUCCACAAAUUUAGUUCACUUAAAAAACUUUGCCUAAUCUUACUAAUUAAAAAUGCUCAUUUUAUUAGUCUAUUUUUUUCUUCUAACUCAUGCAAUCUAUUUUUGACGUUUAAAGAUGGACUAAUAUUUUUAACUAAUUAAUACAUGCAUAACUACUGCAUUGUUUGGAUUAGCUUCUAGCUUAUAGAAAGUAUUCAAUUGAUAUUUGGUUCCUAAGAAAAAAUUCUUCAUUGAAUGGGAACUUCUCAAUUGUUAUUUGGUUCCUAACGAAGAAAAUGCCUUUAUAAGUGUAUAUGGUGAAGUUAUAUGAUGGAUCUUCUAGAAAAGACGAGGUGCAAAUUGAUUUUAACUUAUGAGAGAAGCUCUUAUUUAAAGACAAAAUCAUUACAAGAUUAUUUCAACUUCUCCUUUUAUGUAUGUGCCUAUUGAGAAGUUUAACUGAAUUGUCUGUAAUUUUUUUGUAUUUGAAGUGUUGUCUCUCAGUUGUUAGCCUGUCUUAAAUAUAUGCCGGUUGCCUUUAGAAUUUUACAUUAUUUUUGGUUUCUAAAGAGUAUUGCAUUGUGCUUUGGGCCAUAGCGUCACUUUCUCUAGACAGGGUUUGACAUUGUAUUGAUUCUUAUAUUGCAACUUAGUUCGUCGUCAGCUUGGGUUGAAGUACCUCAUAUUGUUUCCAUAGUAAAAAACAACGGAUAUUUUAACUCUAAUACAUGGCCUUAUCUCUUCACUUUGAUUAUGAUUUAGUAGGUUUGCCUUAUGGAUGGUUUGAGUUCUGGGUUUUAUUUUCUAGCAUUGUUAAUUUUAAAAUUUGAAUCUUGCAGUGCCUAAAAGGGUUACAUGUUCUGGAUGAUAGAAGCUGAAAAUGGUGAUUGGUAAUUUUUGCUACAUAUUAUAUUGGCCUGAAGUGGGUUGUUGAAACACUCUAAUGAUGGAUAAACUUUGUUGUUGCCGAAGUUUUAUCCUGCAAUAGUUGCUUUCGACCUAAAAUUGCUUUUCACACAAUUAAAUUUUGGAAAAUCAUUCUUUUAGUUAUACUUUUUGUUCUAGACUUCUUGGUCAAGAAGUUAGACCACUGAGAGAAAUUUCAGAGACUACUGAAACUUCAUAGUUGAGAAGGAUGAAUGUAUCUUAAGAUGAACAAAACUGCAGUGCAUUUUAUUCUUAUGUUUUAUGGUAUACUUCUUAAAAGUGAAAAGUGAAAAAUAAACAAAAGAGUGCCUAUAGUGCAUAUAGGUCUCAACUAUAGUUAAUUAUAAGAAUAUGCUGAUUAUGUGUCACACAUGGAUGUACUUGCGCAUCAAAAACACAUUCAUUGAUAUGCUUUUGAUGAGUCUUCCUUUUUCUCCUUUCCUCCUUAUUGAACCAAGGCUAAUUUGUUGAAUUGGCAAACAUAUUGAAGAUUGUCGCAUUCCUUCUCUGCAUUUUGGACCGAUAAAAAAAUGUUCUUUCUUAUUUUAUUAUUUUCUUGCAGAGCCAAGCUGAUAUCAACCGAGUGAUUUGAACAUUGUGAGCAGAUGUGGUGACUCCUUAUAUAAUUAUUGUAUUUCUUUUGGUUAUUGUAUUUCUAUUUCAAAUCAUAGAAGGCUUGAUUCUAUGAACUUGGGGUUGCAACCAAGCUAUGUCUCUCCCUAUAGAGAAUAGAUGUUUUACGACUAUGAUAACUUCAAUUUAAUUUAUUAAAUGAAAUCAAAGUGAAAUCAAUGAUUUA